rnacentral:piRNA from 1 species
UUCUAGGCGAACCAAGAAUGUUUGUG